rnacentral:rRNA from 1 species
AGUUCGGAUUGGAGGCUGAAACCCGCCUCCAUGAAGUUGGAUUCGCUAGUAAUCGCGCAUCAGCCAUGGCGCGGUGAAUACGUUCCCGGGCCUUGUACACACCGCCCGUCAAGCCAUGGGAGCCGGGGGUGCCUGAAGUUCGUGACCGCAAGGAGCGACCUAGGGCAAAACUGGUGACUGGGGCUAAGUCGUAACAAGGUACC